GCCGAGGUAGCUCAGGUGGUAGAGCAACGGACUGAAAAUCCGUGUGUCGGCGGUUCGACUCCGCCCCUCGGCA
rnacentral:tRNA from 1 species